AUUGAACGCUGGCGGCAGGCCUAACACAUGCAAGUCGAGCGGAUGAAGAGAGCUUGCUCUCUGAUUUAGCGGCGGACGGGUGAGUAAUGCCUAGGAAUCUGCCUGGUAGUGGGGGAUAACGUCCGGAAACGGGCGCUAAUACCGCAUACGUCCUACGGGAGAAAGCAGGGGACCUUCGGGCCUUGCGCUAUCAGAUGAGCCUAGGUCGGAUUAGCUAGUUGGUGAGGUAAUGGCUCACCAAGGCUACGAUCCGUAACUGGUCUGAGAGGAUGAUCAGUCAGACUGGAGCUGAGACACGGGCCAGACUCCUACGGGAGGCAGCAGUGGGGAAUAUUGGACAAUGGGCGAAAGCCUGAUCCAGCCAUGCCGCGUGUGUGAAGAAGGUCUUCGGAUUGUAAAGCACUUUAAGUUGGGAGGAAGGGCAGUAAGUUAAUACCUUGCUGUUUUGACGUUACCGACAGAAUAAGCACCGGCUAACUUCGUGCCAGCCGCCGCGGUAACAC
rnacentral:rRNA from 1 species